CCGUCGGCCCCCCGCGACGCUAGUCCGAAAACUCCGCCAGGGCCGGAAGGCAGCAACGGUAUUGGAUGAUGCGGGCGCCGGGGUAAGUCGGCGGGGC
rfam:Arenimonas metalli CF5-1 contig16, whole genome shotgun sequence.